AGGUCUUAGCUUAAUGAAAGUGUCUGAGUUGCAUUCAGGAGAUGUGAGAUAAAGUCUUGCAGAUCUUA
rnacentral:tRNA from 1 species